UGGACCAGUGAUGAUGAUUGUGAUGGGAAGAGUCCUGAAUGAUGAAAACAUGUCUGAAACUCUGAGGUCCAA
ensembl:snoRNA